UUCCUGUUACCCUCAUUCCUCAGCCUAACUUAUGACCAAUGUAGUAUGCUGGCUCAGCUUUUCAAGGCUUAAGAGUUUGAGAUGGGAGGGGUUCCUGCUUAGCCUAGAGAGGACCACAUCUUCAGCAGAAAAAUCCACAGAGAUCUCCAGAAGGUUCAGCUAACAUUGCUAAGAACUUUAUGCCCAAAUGAGACCUCACCCUGCAUGAGAGAGGAAUAGCUACAGCAAAAUAUGAUGUAGAAAAUAUAGGCCCACUUGUUUCAACUGAAGGGCAGCAGUGAAAUGUCUAGAAUAAACAACAAUUGUCACGUAUUGAGAUUAUGCUUCUCCAGAAGAAAAUACCAAUGUGAUUGCAAGACAUCAUAAAGGAAAAUGAUCCUGUUAACUGGAAAUUGUAAGUCACUGAUGUGUUAUCUAUGAUCUUCAACACUGUAGUCCUCUUCUGUCACUUGCUUGAAGACUUUAUUUUGCAUGCCAUGAGCAAAAGGAAACCUUUUCUUGUCCUAAACACCAUGUGGAAGACUGCAUGUGGAAUUUUCUUUGAUAAAUCUGGGCAACAUUGAGUCUUUAAAAGACUCCUUACCUGGUGCAGAACUUACUCAAGACCAUGAAGGAUUUGAUUAAGGAGCAGGACUUUAUGAAGGUUACAGUCGUCUGAGGAGGAUUAUAAAUUGGCUGUUCUAGAUGGUGAAGAAAUGUGGUAUCUAGAAUAGCAAAGAAGACAGACAGUCACAUCAACAGGAAAAUCUCCACAUAGUACAAAUUAUCCUGGGGCAUUUUGUUUGAAGUCUCACUUCCUUUUUCAUGUUUUAAGAGUUUGUUUUGAAUAGUUUGCUUUUAUUACAUAUUUAUAUUAUGUAACAAUUAUUGUAAUUUUGUAUUUCUAUAAUAAAAAUUAAAACAUUUUUUCUUUUGA